rnacentral:misc_RNA from 1 species
AAAGUCGUAACAAGGUUUCCGUAGGUGAACCUGCGGAAGGAUCAUUAACACGUGUAUCCACGUAUAAACCAUGCGCACUCAUUCUCGUUAUGGGGUAGUAUCGAAGAGCUGAAAGAGCAGACGCAGUGCCAACCCUGUGUUCAACGGGGCUCGUAAAGUGCUGUCUUUCAUUUUCUCUUUUGGUAUGGCUUCGCGGCUGUAUCGACAAGGGGGAGUAUUCUUUAUUAUCCACACUGCACCUUUUUUACAAAUUUAUUUACACUUUAUACCAACUUGUACUAAUUUUAUGUUUUGGCGAAAGCCUUAACUAAAUCUAUUUAACUAUAGAACAACUCUUAGCAACGGAUAUCUUGGUUCUC